AAAGACGGGGAUAGAAAUUUUAAUUAUAAUUUGUACCUAAAUUACCCCAUUCUAAUUUUAUAAUUUCAAAAUUACCCUUAAUGUAAAUCAGGGCUUCUUGAUCAACCAUCGUGAUUCAUCUUCUCAUUCUUCUUCGGAACAGCCACUGCAGCCGCUCAAGCAUUCUUCUUCAAGAACAGCCACCGCAUCGCCGCUGGCCUCACCACCGCUAGGAAAAUCGAAGAACGAAGCUGCCAUCUCUCCCCGAUUGCUGUCCACCUCAACCAUCAACUCCUCGUCCGAACUGCUCUGACCCAGCAUUGGGACUUUUCUCUUCUUGUGAUAAUCAAUUUGAUCUGUGGAUUUAACUAUUAUUUUUGUAAUGCUUAAAUCAAAUUUGUUUGUAUUUAAAAGGUGUAUUU